CUUGAUGAAGCAGCAGGAACAACACUGCUGAGAAGCACUGCUCAUAAGAAACUCGCCUUCUUGACCUCUGGCUGCUGCCCACUGCCUCUGUCCACCCCCUUGACCACUUUCCACAGGCAGAAACAAAUCCAACCCCCCUCCCCCACCAGCUGUAAUCGGAGGCUGAGGAGCUAAAAGUGGCAAAAACCCUGGAAGAGGCUUGGCAGAGGAAUGUAUUAUGAAGAAAGUCCUCAGAACUGCAAAGCAAACUGCCAGUCUGAGUGCACUCUGAAGGAGUGGCUUCCCAUGAAGGGGAAACCGUGGCAGGGGUGACCCCCACAGCCCCUUGGCCCGGCAGAAUGGAUCCAGAGCCCCCAGGCAGACCCUGCCGACACAGUUUCAGAACAUGAUCUAGUCUCAACACCAGCAGGAGUAAAGGAGCAGGACAAAGGAACAACAACUCCUGUUAUCCAAAACUUCCCCAAAUUCUCAUCUCCAAGACCCAUUUGACUCCCAGCCUGCCCAGAAUGCAACUGCUGACCCCCCAGAUUCUUGGAACGCAACAAAAAUCCCAAUUCUGCUUUCCCAGAAACGCUAUGGGUAGAUGAUUCUGCAGAGGAAUGGGAAGAUGCCCUGUAGCAGCACCAGUGACACAGGCUAUCCCAGAAGAAACCAAGGACAUAACCAAAGAUGGAAGUUGAUUUGAUUUCCUCUUUUUGGGAACUGGGGCAUUGUUUACACUGCCUGGGGAAACCUCAGAUAUGCCAGGACAAGGGAAGGAACCCUGAACAAAACCCAAAAUCCCCUCAGAGGAGGAUGAAGGCUUUGUACCACUCUGAAUUCGAGUCCCAGAACUAGUGAAGAAGAAGGAAGAAAAUAGGAGGAGGCAAAGAAAUCACGACUUUUUUUUUUUUUUAUUGCUCAUGAAACCAUAUGGAAGAGGGUGAGGACUGAAAGAACAUACUUUCUACACUUUGCUGUAUUUGCAGAAUGUAUUGCCAUAACUUGUGUGACAGAA